rnacentral:tRNA from 1 species
AAAUAAGAAGCAAUUUGCAUUUAAUUUCGACUUAAAAAUAGAGUUUAUCAAACUCCUUAUUUA